rnacentral:piRNA from 1 species
UGGAGCCACUUGUAGUUUUGCACAUUUCU